rnacentral:rRNA from 1 species
UCUACGGGAGGCAGCAGUGAGGAAUAUUGGUCAAUGGACGAGAGUCUGAACCAGCCAAGUAGCGUGAAGGAUGACUGCCCUCUGGGUUGUAAACUUCUUUUGUAAGGGAAUAAAACGAGGCACGUGUGCCCUUUUGCAUGUACUUUAUGAAUAAGGAUCGGCUAACUCCGUGCCAGCAGCCGCGGUAAUACGGAGGAUCCGAGCUUUAUCCGGAUUUAUUGGGUUUAAAGGGAGCGUAGGUGGGCUGUUAAGUCAGUUGUGAAAGUUAGGGGCUCAACCGGAGAAUUGCAAUUGAUACUGGCAGGCUAGAGUGUAGUAGAGGGAGGCGGAAGUCGUGGUGUAGCGGUGAAAUGCGUAGAGAUCACGAGGAACACCGGUGGCGAAGGCGGCUUACUAAACUGUGACUGACGUUGAGGCUCGAAAGUGUGGGUAUCAAACAGGAUUAGAUACCCUUGUAGUC